GGAGACCGAUGCUGGAGUGGAAGAGAGGGACGGAAUCGGAAAUUUCGAUGACAUCAUUGGGGCCGGAGAUGCGACCUAGGAGGACUCCGUUGACGGCGGAGGUCCGGUGCUUUAGGGCAUGGAGAACAAGCUUUAUGUAAGCAUUCUGAGAGAUCUCGAAGCGUAGAUCGCCGCCCAUGAAUCUGUGAGUUGGUAAAUCUCCGGUUAGUCUGCAGGGAGAGACGGUUAAGAGAGGAGGAGGAGGCGGAGUUUAC
rnacentral:misc_RNA from 1 species